UACGUAGGGUCCGAGCGUUGUCCGGAAUUAUUGGGCGUAAAGGGCUCGUAGGCGGUUUGUCGCGUCGGGAGUGAAAAACUCAGGGCUCAACCCUGAGCGUGCUUCCGAUACGGGCAGACUAGAGGUAUGCAGGGGAGAACGGAAUUCCUGGUGUAGCGGUGGAAUGCGCAGAUAUCAGGAGGAACACCGGUGGCGAAGGCGGUCUCUGGGCAUUACUGACGCUGAGGAGCGAAAGCAUGGGGAGCGAACAGG
rnacentral:rRNA from 1 species